AUCUUUUUACAGCCAGAUGGUAGUCUGUGAAAGCAGUCGCACACAGCCCAGAUAACCACGUCUAACUGGCAGAACAGUGGGAAAUGGACUGCGAUGCUAAUGCUCUUUAAAGUGCUGAAUUGCGUGUUCCCUGUGUGGCUGAAAAGUUGCUCCCUAGCAUUAACCUUCUCCAUCAAGAUGUUACAUUCCUUCUUGAACUCUUCAUCAGAAAACUCACCCCAUCAACUCACCUGUCUCACCACCCUCCCAUGACUCUGCUUUCUGGUGUCCAAAUGUCCUUCCCAGACUGACCAACUGCUUUUACAGACAAUCACCAUGGAGAAUUGCAGUGCCUUUGUAAUGAAACAGAGUGCCUUUCUUACUAUAUGCAAAUUUAU